CAGUCGCCGCGGUAAUACGAAGGGUGCAAGCGUUACUCGGAAUUACUGGGCGUAAAGCGUGCGUAGGUGGUGGUUUAAGUCCGUUGUGAAAGCCCUGGGCUCAACCUGGGAAUUGCAGUGGAUACUGGGUCACUAGAGUGUGGUAGAGGAUAGUGGAAUUUCCGGUGUAGCAGUGAAAUGCGUAGAGAUCGGAAGGAACAUCUGUGGCGAAGGCGACUAUCUGGGCCAACACUGACACUGAGGCACGAAAGCGUGGGGAGCAAACAGGAUUAGAGACCCCCGUAGUCCCUGUCUCUUAUAA
rnacentral:rRNA from 1 species